rnacentral:rRNA from 1 species
AGUGAACGCUGGCGGUAGGCCUAACACAUGCAAGUCGAACGGCAGCACAGUAAGAGCUUGCUCUUACGGGUGGCGAGUGGCGGACGGGUGAGGAAUACAUCGGAAUCUACUUUUUCGUGGGGGAUAACGUAGGGAAACUUACGCUAAUACCGCAUACGCCCUACGGGUGAAAGUAGGGGAUCUUCGGACCUUGCGCGAUUGAAUGAGCCGAUGUCGGAUUAGCUAGUUGGCGGGGUAAAGGCCCACCAAGGCGACGAUCCGUAGCUGGUCUGAGAGGAUGAUCAGCCACACUGGAACUGAGACACGGUGCAGACGCCUACGGGAGGCAGCAGUGGGGAAUAUUGGACAAUGGGCGGAAGCCUGAUCCAGCCAUACCGCGUGGGUGAAGAAGGCCUUCGGGUUGUAAAGACCUUUUGUUGGGAAAGAAAAGCAGCAGGUUAAUACCCCGCUGUUCUGACGGUACCCAAAGAAUAAGCACCGGCUAACUUCGUG